rnacentral:rRNA from 1 species
AAUCAACGCUGGCGGCGUGCCUAACACAUGCAAGUCGAACGAGAAAGUCCCGGCAACGGGAUGAGUAAAGUGGCAGACGGGUGAGUAACACGUGAAUAACCCACUCCCGAGUGGGGAAUAACCCCGCGAAAGCGGGGCUAAUACCGCAUAACAUCCUGGGGCUGCAUGGCUCCGGGAUCAAAGACUUCGGGCGCUUGGGAAGGGGUUCACGGCUGAUUAGCUAGUUGGUGAGGUAACGGCCCACCAAGGCAACGAUCAGUAGCCGGCCUGAGAGGGCGUACGGCCACACUGGAACUGGGACACGGUCCAGACUCCUACGGGAGGCAG